UACGAAGGGGGCUAGCGUUACUCGGAUUGACUGGGCGUAAAGGGCGCGUAGGCGGUUUGUACAGUCAGGCGUGAAAUUCCUGGGCUCAACCUGGGGGCUGCGUUUGAUACGUGCAGACUUGAGUUCGGAAGAGGGUCGUGGAAUUCCCAGUGUAGAGGUGAAAUUCGUAGAUAUGGGGAGGAACACCGGUGGCGAAGGCGGCCACCUGGACGGUAACUGACGCUGAGACGCGAAAGCGUGGGGAGCGAACGGG
rnacentral:rRNA from 1 species